rnacentral:misc_RNA from 1 species
GAUGAAGAACGUAGCGAAAUGCGAUACUUGGUGUGAAUUGCAGAAUCCCGUGAACCAUCGAGUCUUUGAACGCAAGUUGCGCCCGAAGCCACUAGGCCGAGGGCACGCCUGCCUGGGCGUCACACGCCGUUGCCCCUCCAUCUACUCCUUCGGGAUUGCGGGGGGGCGGAUGAUGGCCUCCCGUGCGCCUAGCCGCGCGGUUGGCAUAAAUACCAAGUCCUCGGCGACGCACGCCACGACAAUCGGUGGUUGCGAAACCUCGGUUGCCCGUCGUGUGCGUUCGUCGCGCAUCGAGGGCUCGAAAAAAUGCUCGGCUCCGGCUGGGCUUUCAACGCGACCCCAGGUCAGGCGGGGUUACCCGCUGAAUUUAAGCAUAUCAAUAAGCGGAGGA